GGAGCUUGCUCUUCUUGGAUGAGUUGCGAACGGGUGAGUAACGCGUAGGUAACCUGCCUUGUAGCGGGGGAUAACUAUUGGAAACGAUAGCUAAUACCGCAUAACAAUGAAUGACUCAUGUCAUUUAUUUGAAAGGGGCAAUUGCUCCACUACAAGAUGGACCUGCGUUGUAUUAGCUAGUAGGUGAGGUAACGGCUCACCUAGGCGACGAUACAUAGCCGACCUGAGAGGGUGAUCGGCCACACUGGGACUGAGACACGGCCCAGACUCCUACGGGAGGCAGCAGUAGGGAAUCUUCGGCAAUGGGGGCAACCCUGACCGAGCAACGCCGCGUGAGUGAAGAAGGUUUUCGGAUCGUAAAGCUCUGUUGUAAGUCAAGAACGAGUGUGAGAGUGGAAAGUUCACACUGUGACGGUAGCUUACCAGAAAGGGACGGCUAACUACGUGCCAGCAGCCGCGGUAAUACGUAGGUCCCGAGCGUUGUCCGGAUUUAUUGGGCGUAAAGCGAGCGCAGGCGGUUUGAUAAGUCUGAAGUUAAAGGCUGUGGCUCAACCAUAGUUCGCUUUGGAAACUGUCAAACUUGAGUGCAGAAGGGGAGAGUGGAAUUCCAUGUGUAGCGGUGAAAUGC
rnacentral:rRNA from 1 species